UACAGAGGGGGCAAGCGUUAUUCGGAAUUACUGGGCGUAAAGUGUGCGCAGGCGGUUUCGCAAGUCAAGUGUGAAAGCCCCGGGCUUAACCUGGGAACUGCGCUUGAAACUACGGAACUCGAGUAUGGCAGAGGAAGGUGGAAUUCCACGUGUAGCGGUGAAAUGCGCAGAUAUCAGGAAGAACACCCGUGGCUAAGGCGGCUCUCUAGUACGGUACUGACGCUGAGACGCGAAAGCGUGGGGAGCGAACAGG
rnacentral:rRNA from 1 species